rnacentral:rRNA from 1 species
CCUGGGGAGUACGGUCGCAAGAUUAAAACUCAAAGGAAUUGACGGGGACCCGCACAAGCGGUGGAUGAUGUGGAUUAAUUCGAUGCAACGCGAAAAACCUUACCUACCCUUGACAUGGCAGGAAUCCCGGAGAGAUUUGGGAGUGCUCGAAAGAGAACCUGCACACAGGUGCUGCAUGGCUGUCGUCAGCUCGUGUCGUGAGAUGUUGGGUUAAGUCCCGCAACGAGCGCAACCCUUGUCAUUAGUUGCUACGCAAGAGCACUCUAAUGAGACUGCCGGUGACAAACCGGAGGAAGGUGGGGAUGACGUCAAGUCCUCAUGGCCCUUAUGGGUAGGGCUUCACACGUCAUACAAUGGUACAUACAGAGGGCCGCCAACCCGCGAGGGGGAGCUAAUCCCAGAAAGUGUAUCGUAGUCCGGAUUGUAGUCUGCAACUCGACUGCAUGAAGUUGGAAUCGCUAGUAAUCGCGGAUCAGCAUGUCGCGGUGAAUACGUUCCCGGGUCUUGUACACACCGCCCGUCACACCAUGGGAGCGGGUUUUACCAGAAGUAGGUAGCUUAACCGCAAGGAGGGCGCUUACCACGGUAGGAUUCGUGACUGGGGUGAAGUCGUAACAAGGUAGCCGUAUCGGAAGGUGCGGCUGGAUCACCUCCUUUCUAG